UUUGCCCAGGAACUUCCAUAUGCCGCAGGUGGGGCCCUAAAAAAGAAAAAAAAAUAUGGGGCAGCCAGUUUAAUUUCCAUUUCAGAUAGGCAACAAAUUGUUUUUUAGUAUAAGAAUAUUUGGAACAUACUACUUUUUAGUCUAAAAAUAUUUGGAACAUUACCUUUUAGUAUAAAAAUAUUCAGGUCACAUAUUUUUAAAAUUAUUUGCUGUUUAUCUGGAAAUUCAGAUAACUGGGUGUCCUGUAUUUAAUCUGGCAAUCCCAAUAAGAUUGUUUUCUGAAUGGACAGAGUGGUAAAAAUAGGCUUUUUUAGGUCUCACAGUGAAUAUUUUUUUUUUACAUAAAAGUUACACAUGGCCUUGCUAAAACAUUCAAACAGUAUGGAGCUAAAGUGUGGUUCUGCAUCUUGUCUUUUCUGCCUCAGAGAUCAUUAUGCUGGAGACAUGGCUAUGCACAGAGAGUGCCCAUUCUUUUUAACAGCUGCAUAGUGUUCCAUUGUCUGCCUGUGGUCAUCUGGAUUUCACAGGCCUCUGUGGAUGGGUUCAGAUUUUCGAUGAGCACAAACAACGCUGCCAAGACAUUCCUUGAACAUAUAUCUCUGUGUGUGUUUGAGAACAUAAUAGCAGAAUGGCUUCAAUAAGAAAACCCAGCCGUCCCGUGUCCAAUAUCUUUGGUGACUUCAGUGAUAUUUCCUUGGAAGAUUCAAAGGUGGAAGAAAUCCAGAACUUGGGAAUCAGUCGAAGUCUUACCAAAAUAGCACCCAGUCAGAGCAGAUUUCUAAAAAGAAACCAAACUGUGGGUGGAAGACACUUAUCCCCCAAAGAGAACGCUGUCCUGGGGAGUGGGCCCUGGCCCUCCUCAGGUAGACCCCUGACCAUGGCCUCAAAGGUCAGGGCCAAUGCUGCACUCACGAAGCUGGCCCAGAUCGAAAGCAAGAUCAGGAAUCGGAAGGUGCAGAUGGCGUUGUCUCACGUGGAAUCUGACCUGAAGACUUCUGAGGACAUGCUUCCUAGUGGAGCAGACGACAUUCCCCCCAGGAGGCCGGGUGACCUUUCUUCACAGAACACAGACAAAACCUCCUGGACACAGACCCGUGAAAUUCUUGUCUCUGAGGGUGACAAGCCCAGUGGAAAGGUCAGUAAGUUUCUAAAGAAGAGAGAAGCACUUGUUGAAAAGAUAUCCCCCAAAGCACAUGCUGGGAAAGAGAGGAAUUUUCAAACACUCAAAGAAAAGAAACCUCCUAGAAAACUGGAUUCUCCAGACAGCGAUGAGGAGGAAAUGAAGGAGCUGCUGGGAAGCUUGAUGGAGUCUCCUAGAGAAAAAAACACAGCCACAAAUCAGGGUUUCACCAGCACUAGGGUCAGUGAAGAACAACAAAUAAAACUGUUCUCGGAUCAGACCCCAACUCAACCAAGAGUCCUUUCACUGCCCAGUAAGGACCUUUCCAGUUCAAAGCCAUUUUGGACAUCACGUGUGCCAACCUCACAGUCAGCCGAUGGGAUCCUUCGCAGCACUGGCUCAAGAAAUUGUUCCCCACAGACUCACAUUUCAGAUGACACAGCCCCCCACAAAGCAUCGAUUUCCACUCCCGGCACCUUUCCGAAGUCAUUGCCUUCGACAGUCGGGGACGGCAAGCUCUCAUCCCCGCCCAGAUGGAGUGAGGCUGGGCCUCUGGAGGAGUCUCCCUCAGCAGCUACCGAUGACAGCCUAAACGAUUUUAGAAUAAACAUUUUAUCCCUUGAUGAUCUGUCUCCAGCUGUCAGUGAGAAACCAGACUUUGAACAGAAAAAAGAUGGUCAGAGGGAAAAGGCAUCCAGCCGAAGCCCCUGGGUAGGGAGCCCUUCCUCUGGAAGUGAGGUCUCUGAGCACCUGAGCGAGCGGUCGGCCUUGUCUGCUGGGUCCAAGGGUGUUUCUGGCCCAGGGCCCAUGUCACAGGAACCUCUGGCCAGCUCCGAGAGCUUUUCUUACUCGGAAGAUUUUGAAAAAUCCCCUAGUCCAACGACAGCGUCUGAGUUGACGGCCCAUUCUGAGGAGUCUCCUGACAGGACGCUGGCCACUCGGUCUGAGUUUUCUGCAAGUCUGGAGACAGCCCUUCCUCCACCAACACCCAAGUCUCAGAAGAAGCGGACCAGGGGUGUUGCAAGAGUCAUGGUGAAGGAGACGGCUGUGCAGACCCCUGAUCCUGCCUUCAUCUACCAGUGGACUAAGGCGGCCAGUGUGGCGGCCAUCGGGCCAGCCCUGGGAGGCGCCUACGUGGACCCUGCACCCAUUGCCAGUCAUGUCAUCAGUGCAGAUGCCAUAGAAGCCCUGACAGCAUACAGCCCAGCCGUGUUUGCACUCAAUGACAUGCUGAAGCAGCAGCUGAACCUGACGCAGCAGUUCAUCGAGGCCAGCCGGCACCUACACGCGUCCCUCCUGCACUCCCUGGACCGGGACUCGUUCCACUACCACACCCUGGAGGAAACCAAAGAGCACUGCCACCUGGCAUCCCAUCAUUUUUUGCUAGACCCUGGGGACAGGCUCUCCAGCACCCAGAGCUUCAACAGCCCGAGGCUGCAGUGGUGACGGCUUCCCCAUGUCUUCUGCCCCACAGUACAUCAGACAACACAGGCCCACUCCGCUGACCAUGGAGGAGGCUCUGGAGGAGGUGAAGAAGGAGCUGUGAAUGCUAGCAGAUGGAGACCGUGUGAGAACUGAGGUGUCCCUUCCAUCUUCCACUGCCAAUAAGCCAAGAGUCCGAGGCCCGCGCUGCUGGCGGCCAGCCACUGACGUGGUUCUCUGCCUGUGCCGCUCCUACUUGCACUCGUCCCUGGCCUUCAUGCGGGCGAUGAAGGAGUAACUCUUGUUCCUGCGGUAGUUCUCGUAGGGGUCAUCCAGAGCCACGCCCACACCCUUGUACUGGUCCCACUUAUCCCGGACGUCCCCGCCCUUGAUGGGGUCCUGGAUCCCUUGCUCUUUCGCGCCAAGGCCACCGGAUCCACUCCAGCCUUAGGAAGAAAGGAAGGGGUGGUUACAACACACCGAGGAAGCCGAAACUGGGCACUUAACCUGACAUGAAGUUAAAUGGGAGCGCGUGUGGGGAGCUGAACAUGCAGGCAUGCGGUUUAUAAACCUAAGACUAAUGAGGGAAGAAAGAAGGCCCAGUAAAACCCCUGCAGGUUCACCCUUUCUAGAGGUUCUGGCCUUGAGCUGGAACUUUCUCUGACUCCAUCACCCCCAGCCGCAAACACCCAGAGCAGACUGUUUGGUCCUUCUAGAAAUCUUACCCAUUUUCACCAGCAUCUGAUGUCCUUUGUUCUCUUCCCCGAGCCUUGAGUCAGGUAUGGGAGGUGCUGAAUUAGAACCCAGACCAGCCGAGGAACUAAAAUUAAGACAGUUACGUCUUUUAAAAAGGAGCUGAUACAUUUAUUGGAAUGAAAACUUAGAAUGUUACAGCGUGUAGCUUAUAUAAAUGGUCACCAGCGUGAUGGACACACACACACUGUUCCGUGUCUCUAAGCCUUCUUCUUUGUCCUCUUCGCCGACCAGAUAAGGGGGCUCCCUAAGAUGGCCCUGCCUCGCACAGCGGCAAGGGCAGGCCACACUGAACCCAUAAAAUGGUUAGAAAACAGAGCCCAGCCACCGUCUCAGGCUUUACAACGUGACUGUGGAGGUAAGAGCGAGGUGUGAGACGAAGUGCCACCAUCACCGAGCUAGUGCUCGGGGCCCCCGAGGUGCCGCCUCAGCCCAGGCCACCGUGAGUGCGUCUUCUAAGGACACCAUUCAACAUUCACAGCAAAGCAUCAGAGGUUUCCAGUGCUACCAGAGGUCAUUUGACAGUUAAGACAGAAA